CCUACGGGAGGCAGCAGUGAGGAAUAUUGGUCAAUGGGCGUAAGCCUGAACCAGCCAAGUCGCGUGAGGGAUGAAGGCCCUAUGGUUCGUAAACCUCUUUUAUGAGGGGAUAAACUUCAGGACGUGUCCCGUUGUGUAUGUACCUUAUGAAUAAGGAUCGGCUAACUCCGAGCCAGUAGCCGCGGUAAUACGGAGGAUCCGAGCGUUAUCCGGAUUUAUUGGGUUUAAAGGGUGCGUAGGGGGUCUUUUAAGUCAGAGGUGAAAGGCUGGGGCUCAACCAUAGAAUUGCAGUUGAAACUGGGUGGCUUGAGUGUGUUAGAGGCAGGUGGAAUGCGUGGUGUAGCGGUGAAAUGCUUAGAGAUC
rnacentral:rRNA from 1 species